rnacentral:rRNA from 1 species
AUUGAACGCUGGCGGUAUGCUUAACACAUGCAAGUCGAACGGUAACAGGCCUUCGGGCGCUGACGAGUGGCGGACGGGUGAGUAACGCGUAGGAAUCUGCCUCAUAGUGGGGGACAACGUGGGGAAACUCACGCUAAUACCGCAUACGCCCUACGGGGAAAGCGGGGAGUCUUCGGACCUCGCGCUAUGAGAUGAGCCUGCGUUAGAUUAGCUAGUUGGUAGGGUAAAGGCCUACCAAGGCGACGAUCUAUAGCUGGUCUGAGAGGACGAUCAGCCACACUGGGACUGAGACACGGCCCAGACUCCUACGGGAGGCAGCAGUGGGGAAUAUUGGACAAUGGGCGCAAGCCUGAUCCAGCAAUACCGCGUGAGGGAUGAAGGCCUUCGGGUUGUAAACCUCUUUCUGGGAGAAGAGACAAGGACGGUAUCCCAGGAAUAAGUCUCGGCUAACUACGUGCCAGCAGCCGCGGUAAU